GGAAGUUGUAGCUCAGCGGUUAAAACAUUAGACUACUGAUCAGAAGGUCAUGAGUUCAAACCCCAGCACUGCCA